rnacentral:rRNA from 1 species
GGGUUAAGUCCCGCAACGAGCGCAACCCUCGACCUUAGUUGCCAGCAUUCAGUUGGGCACUCUAAAGGUGACUGCCGGCUAAAAAGUCGGAGGAAGGUGGGGAUGACGUCAAAUCAUCAUGCCCCUUAUGACCUGGGCUACACACGUGCUACAAUGGGCGGUACAAAGGGCUGCGAACCCGCGAGGGGGAGCGAAUCCCAAAAAGCCGCUCUCAGUUCGGAUUGCAGGCUGCAACUCGCCUGCAUGAAGCCGGAAUCGCUAGUAAUCGCGGAUCAGCAUGCCGCGGUGAAUACGUUCCCGGGCCUU